CUGGAUUGGGCGAGGGAGUUGAGCUCGACAGGGACAGGGCUGGGCUCGACAGGGAGGAGAAGGGGAGAGGGAGUUCCGGUAGGGAAAGAGAGAAAGGACAGCUAGCCUUAGUUCUUGAUUUAUAGAGUUACAAUCCUUGCUUCCCACUACACUUGCUUCCUAUGAAAUUUUUCUUGUUUCCCAAACAUUUUCCUUGUUCAUUACUCAUAUAAACCACUGAGUUUUUAGCCUACAAAUGCCAGCUCAUGCUUUCUUUCCCAGCUCAU
rnacentral:lncRNA from 1 species